CUAGCAAUAGUUUAAUUAGAACGGUGGCUUUGGGAGUCUCAGGUACGGGAUUUAACCGGGUGCUAGA
rnacentral:tRNA from 1 species